AAGUCGUAACAAGGUUUCCGUAGGUGAACCUGCGGAAGGAUCAUUACCUUUCUAUCAGAAACCGCUUCAAUUCCAGGGUUUGCCCGAUGUAUUGGCGGUCUGAUUCUCCCCAUGUCUUUUGCGCACUCUUGUUUCCUGGGCAGGCUUGCCUGCCAACAGGACAACCUACAACCCUUGCAAUUGCAAUCAGCGUCAGUAACAACGUAAUAAUUACAA
rnacentral:misc_RNA from 1 species